rnacentral:rRNA from 1 species
UGGGGAAUAUUGGACAAUGGGCGCAAGCCUGAUCCAGCCAUGCCGCGUGAGUGAUGAAGGCCUUAGGGUUGUAAAGCUCUUUCACUCGCGACGAUAAUGACGGUAGCGAGAGAAGAAGCCCCGGCUAACUUCGUGCCAGCAGCCGCGGUAAUACGAAGGGGGCUAGCGUUGCUCGGAAUCACUGGGCGUAAAGCGCACGUAGGCGGAUCUUUAAGUCAGGGGUGAAAUCCCAAGGCUCAACCUUGGAACUGCCUUUGAUACUGGGGAUCUCGAGUCCGGAAGAGGUUGGUGGAACUGCGAGUGUAGAGGUGAAAUUCGUAGAUAUUCGCAAGAACACCAGUGGCGAAGGCGGCCAACUGGUCCGGUACUGACGCUGAGGUGCGAAAGCGUGGGGAGCAAACAG